rnacentral:rRNA from 1 species
CUUUACCAUCAUACCAUCCUGAAUGAGUCUGAUGUCCUCUGAUUUUGGAAGCUAAACAAGAUUAGGGCUGGUUAGCAUUUGGGGUACUGCCUGGGAAUAACUGGUGUUUUAGGCU